rnacentral:tRNA from 1 species
GCCCUCAUAGCUCAGUUGGUAGAGCGCGUUCUUGGUAAGAACGAGGUCAUGGGUCCGAAUCCCAUUGAGGGCU